AUUGAACGCUGGCGGCAUGCCUUACACAUGCAAGUCGAACGGCAGCACGGGGCAACCUGGUGGCGAGUGGCGAACGGGUGAGUAAUGCAUCGGAACGUGCCAUUGAGUGGGGGAUAACGUAGCGAAAGUUGCGCUAAUACCGCAUAUUCUGUGAGCAGGAAAGCAGGGGACCGCAAGGCCUUGCGCUCUUUGAGCGGCCGAUGUCAGAUUAGCUAGUUGGUGAGGUAACGGCUUACCAAGGCGACGAUCUGUAGCGGGUCUGAGAGGAUGAUCCGCCACACUGGAACUGAGACACGGUCCAGACUCCUACGGGAGGCAGCAGUGGGGAAUUUUGGACAAUGGGCGCAAGCCUGAUCCAGCCAUGCCGCGUGAGUGAAGAAGGCCU
rnacentral:rRNA from 1 species